rnacentral:hammerhead_ribozyme from 1 species
GUACUGCUGAAGAGUCCCAAACUAGGACGGGGGGAAACAGCUGUCCAGUAC